UCUAAUUGUUUAUCUUAUGGGUGUUGGUUGAGGUUUGACCCUAGUGGGAUUGGGUGUUUUUGGAUGGGUUGAGCUCCUAGUGUCAUAGUGAGUAACUUUCCUCAGGUUCAAGUAGGAACCGACUUCCUUACAUAUUUUGUUGAUUUGCUAAAUUGUGGAAUUGUGCUCUCGAAAGUGAAAUGUUUUGUUUUAAAAUCAUGUGAACUUGAUCGUCCACAGUUCACAGAUAAGAAAAAGGUUUCUUUUAAUAUUUAUUAAUUUUCUUGAGCCUUUCCCGAUUGUAGCUAUAUUGACGUUAAUGACAUUUAUAUAUAUGUUCAUGGAAGUUUUUGUGCUUGGUGAAAUUUUGUGACAUGUUCACAUUUGCCGUAUAAUGUUUUGAUCAUUUAAAGAAUUGAAUUGGGGAGGAUACAUGGCUAUAAGCUUGAUUUUAGCGUGUGUCUUUUGUUGAGAGUCGGUGGAUUGUUAGAACAUGUAAUUUGGAAUUGUGUGAUGAAUCUGUGUGGAGAUCUGUGUAGAUGAUCUCUGUGAUGAAUCUGUGUAGAUGAUCUAUGUGAUGAUCUUGAGUAGAUGUUGUGGUUUGGCUUGUGAUUUAACUUAGGAGUCUUGAAGAAGAAUUAUUUGGUUUGUUUGUGUAAGGGAUUUAAUUCAUGAGAUUAUUUUGAUUUAUUACUUUGUUAAGGUGGUGGUUGUUUAUUUGGGGGAGCGGGUGGCUCCAGGAGAUGUGGAUUAUUUUGUUUUCGAAGUGUUUGGGUUUUGGUGAAUUUUCUUUCAGGUAGGGUUAACCAUUUUCAAGGGAGGUUAUGCCAAAAUUUUGGUAGAAUUUCCCUUGAGGUGGGUCCUGCAAGGUUUAUCCAGGAUUUCAAAGGGAAAUCCGGGGCAGGUCCUAUCAAUUUGCAAUGUAGUGGUAGUAUAAUUCACAGGGACGAGUUUUGCGAACCGUUCAGUUACCACCAAGUGGGGUGGUAGUGUGAGUUCAUAUCAGGUUUCAGGUGACCAAGACAACGAAAAGCGGUGUGGUUACAUUCGUUGUUGAUGUUCGACUUGAUUUUCUAGGAAUUGUAUGACAAA
rnacentral:lncRNA from 1 species